AUACGGAGGAUCCGAGCGUUAUCCGGAUUUAUUGGGUUUAAAGGGUGCGUAGGCUGUUUGGAAAGUCAGGGGUGAAAGCCCGGCGCCUAACGCCGGAACUGCCUUUGAUACUUCCGAGCUGGAAUACGGAUGCCGUGGGAGGAAUGAGUAGUGUAGCGGUGAAAUGCAUAGAUAUUACUCAGAACACCGAUUGCGAAGGCAUCUCACGAAUCCGUCAUUGACGCUGAGGCACGAAAGCGUGGGGAUCAAACAGGAUUAGAUACCCUGGUAGUCCACGCAGUAAACGAUGAUGACUAACCGUCGGCGAUACACAGUCGGUGGCCAAGCGAAAGCGAUAAGUCAUCCACCUGGGGAGUACGUUCGCAAGAAUGAAACUUAAAGGAAUUGACGGGG
rnacentral:rRNA from 1 species